rnacentral:lncRNA from 1 species
AUUUCAAUGGAUUUCUUCUUCUGUAUCUUUGGAGCACAAGUAGUUGCUAAUUUUUCCUCAUAGGGUGGAUUGGAAUUGUUCUUCUUCUUCUUCAUCUUCAUCUUUCUUCUACUGCCCUUCCUUGUCAAUUCCAAAGCUCCUCCUCUGCAGCCCUUGCCUAUUCCUAAGCUCCUCCACAACUGCCCUUGUUAAUUCCUAAGCUCAUUUUAUAUGCAAAAACAAAGAGAUUCAAAAGCCAUUCCUUUUUCAUUUGGGAAAGGAAAUAGGGUUACAUCUAUUCCGGCUCACACGCCACACCGCGCCGCCGCCUCCGGUUCGGGCCAAUUAACCCAUGUUUUCUAUGUAUAACUAGGGGCAACGGGAAGAACAUUUUUAGAUUAACUCGUAUUAGUAUCCGUAUGAUGUGCGGAUAAUAUUUAAGUAAAAGUAAUUAUUAAAUAAAGAUAAAUUUAAAAAAUAAUUUAAAUUUACAAAUUUAUCAAAUAGUAAAUCAUAAAAAAAAAUUAUUGACUAAUAAAUAAGCCAACAUAAACUAAUGAAAUGUAAGUCAAAAUCUCCAAUCAAUUAUAGUUUCUUGAAUAAUUCAUAAUAAAUUAUUCAAAAUGAAAAAAAAAAAGUAGAUAAAAUCAAUUUGAAUUUGUUAAAAAUAUUUACCUAUAUACGAAUAUUGAAA